GACGAACGCUGGCGGCGUGCCUAAUACAUGCAAGUAGAACGCUGAAGGAGGAGCUUGCUUCUCUGGAUGAGUUGCGAACGGGUGAGUAACGCGUAGGUAACCUGCCUGGUAGCGGGGGAUAACUAUUGGAAACGAUAGCUAAUACCGCAUAAUAGUAGAUGUUGCAUGACAUUUGCUUAAAAGGUGCAAUUGCAUCACUACCAGAUGGACCUGCGUUGUAUUAGCUAGUUGGUGGGGUAACGGCUCACCAAGGCGACGAUACAUAGCCGACCUGAGAGGGUGAUCGGCCACACUGGGACUGAGACACGGCCCAGACUCCUACGGGAGGCAGCAGUAGGGAAUCUUCGGCAAUGGACGGAAGUCUGACCGAGCAACGCCGCGGGAGUGAAGAAGGGUGUCGGAUCGGAAAGCUCGGUUGUAAGAGAAGAACGAGUGUGAGAGUGGAAAGUUCACACUGUGACGGUAUCUUACCAGUAAGGGACGGCUAACUACGUG
rnacentral:rRNA from 1 species